UACGAAGGGGGCUAGCGUUGCUCGGAAUCACUGGGCGUAAAGGGUGCGUAGGCGGGUCUUUAAGUCAGGGGUGGAAUCCUGGAGCUCAACUCCAGAACUGCCUUUGAUACUGAAGAUCUUGAGUUCGGGAGAGGUGAGUGGAACUGCGAGUGUAGAGGUGAAAUUCGUAGAUAUCCGGAGGAACACCAGUGGCGAAAGCGGCCACCUGGACUGCACCUGACGCUGACACGCGAAAGCUAGGGGAGCGAACGGG
rnacentral:rRNA from 1 species